UACGAAGGGGGCUAGCGUUGCUCGGAAUCACUGGGCGUAAAGGGUGCGUAGGCGGGUCUUUAAGUCAGGGGUGAAAGCCCGGAGCUUAACUCCGGAACUGCCAUUGAAACUGUUUAGCUUGAGGACGAGAGAGGUGAGUGGAAUUCCCAGUGUAGAGGUGAAAUUCGUAGAUAUUGGGAAGAACACCGGUGGCGAAGGCGGCUCACUGGCUCGUUUCUGACGCUCAGGCGCGACAGCGUGGGGAUCAAACAGG
rnacentral:rRNA from 1 species